CCUGCAUGUCUCAGUACAAGCACAUUAAGGUGAAACCGCGAAAGGCUCAUUAAAUCAGUUAUGGUUCCUUAGAUCGUACCCACAUUUACUUGGAUAACUGUGGUAAUUCUAGAGCUAAUACAUGCAAACAGAGUUCCGACCGGAGACGGGAGGAAUGCUUUUAUUAGAUCAAAACCAAUCGGCGGCGGGCCUCGGUCCGUUCGCCGCUCAACUUGGUGACUCUGAAUAACUUUCGGCUGAUCGCACGGUCUCGCACCGGCGACGCAUCUUUCAAAUGUCUGCCUUAUCAACUGUCGAUGGUAGGUUCUGCGCCUACCAUGGUCGUAACGGGUAACGGGGAAUCAGGGUUCGAUUCCGGAGAGGGAGCCUGAGAAACGGCUACCACAUCCAAGGAAGGCAGCAGGCGCGCAAAUUACCCACUCCCGGCACGGGGAGGUAGUGACGAAAAAUAACGAUACGGGACUCAUCCGAGGCCCCGUAAUCGGAAUGAGUACACUUUAAAUCCUUUAACGAGGAUCAAUUGGAGGGCAAGUCUGGUGCCAGCAGCCGCGGUAAUUCCAGCUCCAAUAGCGUAUAUUAAAGUUGUUGCGGUUAAAAAGCUCGUAGUUGAAUCUGUGUCUCGCGCUGUCGGUUCACCGCCCGCGGUGUUAAACUGGCACGCCCGCGAGACGUCCUGCCGGGUG
rnacentral:rRNA from 1 species